GGACAAUCUGCCCUGAAGAAGAGAAUAAUCCCGGGAAACUGGGGGUAAUGCUCUAUAGUCCGGGAAAACUGGAAUGUUUUCCGGAUGAAAGAUCCGUCGCUUCAGGAUGAGUCUGCGGCCGAUUAGGUAGUUGUUGGGGUAAAAGCCCAACAAGCCCGUAAUCGGUACGGGUUGUGGGAGCAAGAGCCCGGAGAUGGAUUCUGAGACACGAAUCCAGGCCCUACGGGGCGCAGCAGGCGCGAAAACUUUACAAUGCGGGCGACCGUGAUAAGGAAACCCCGAGUGCCAGCACAGGCUGGCUGUCCACCAGUGUAAAAAACUGGUGAAGAAAGGGCCGGGCAAGACCGGUGCCAGCCGCCGCGGUAAUACCGGCGGCUCGAGUGGUGGCCGCUUUUACUGGGCUUAAAGGGUCCGUAGCUGGAUUGACAAGUCCCCUGAGAAAUCUAUCGGCUUAACUGAUAGGCGUUCAGGGGAUACUGUUAUUCUAGGGACCGGGAGAGGUGAGAGGUACUGCCGGGGUAGGAGUGAAAUCCUGUAAUCCCGGUGGGACGACCUAUGGCGAAGGCAUCUCACCAGAACGGCUCCGACAGUGAGGGACGAAAGCUGGGGGAGCAAACCGGAUUAGAUACCCGGGUAGUCCCAGCUGUAAACGAUGCGCGUUAGGUGUGUCAGUGACCACGCGUCACUGAGGUGCCGAAGGGAAACCGUGAAACGCGCCGCCUGGGGAGUACGGUCGCAAGGCUGAAACUUAA
rnacentral:rRNA from 1 species